AUUGAACGCUGGCGGCAGGCUUAACACAUGCAAGUCGAGCGGAGAGAGGUAGCUUGCUACUGAUCUUAGCGGCGGACGGGUGAGUAAUGCUUAGGAAUCUGCCUAUUAGUGGGGGACAACAUUUCGAAAGGAAUGCUAAUACCGCAUACGUCCUACGGGAGAAAGCAGGGGAUCUUCGGACCUUGCGCUAAUAGAUGAGCCUAAGUCGGAUUAGCUAGUUGGGGGGGUAAAGGCCUACCAAGGCGACGAUCUGUAGCGGGUCUGAGAGGAUGAUCCGCCACACGGGGACUGAGACACGGCCCAGACUCCUACGGGAGCAAGCAGUGGGGAAUAUUGGACAAUGGGCGGAAGCCUGAUCCAGCCAUGCCGCGUGUGUGAAGAAGGCCUUAUGGUUGUAAAGCACUUUAAGCGAGGAGGAGGCUACUUUAGUUAAUACCUAGAGAUAGUGGACGUUACUCGCAGAAUAAGCACCGGCUAACUCUGUGCCAGCCGCCGCCGUAA
rnacentral:rRNA from 1 species